rnacentral:rRNA from 1 species
AUACGAAGGGUGCAAACGUUGCUCGGAAUUAUUGGGCGUAAAGCGCACGUAGGCGGCUUUGCAAGUCGGAUGUGAAAUCCCUCGGCUUAACCAAGGAAGUGCAUCCGAAACUGCAGAGCUUGAGUACUUAAGAGGAUCGCGGAAUUCCCGGUGUAGAGGUGAAAUUCGUAGAUAUCGGGAGGAACACCAGUGGCGAAGGCGGCGAUCUGGGAAGAUACUGACGCUGAGGUGCGAAAGCGUGGGGAGCAAACA